UGGGGGAUAUUGCACAAUGGGCGAAAGCCUGAUGCAGCGACGCCGCGUGGGGGAUGAAGGCCUUCGGGUUGUAAACUUCUUUUGCUCUGAACAAGGCAUGCCAAUGGGUGUGUUGAGUGUAGGGGUUGAUUAGCGCCGGCUAACUACGUGCCAGCAGCCGCGGUAAUACGUAGGGCGCGAGCGUUGUCCGGAUUUAUUGGGCGUAAAGCGAGCGCAGGCGGUCAAUUAAGUCUGAUGUGAAAGCCCCCGGCUCAACCGGGGAGGGUCAUUGGAAACUGGUUGACUUGAGUGCAGAAGAGGAGAGUGGAAUUCCAUGUGUAACGGUGAAAUGCGUAGAUAUAUGGAGGAACACCAGUGGCGAAGGCGACUCUCUGGUCUGUAACUGACGCUGAGGCUCGAAAGCGUGGGGAGCGAACAGG
rnacentral:rRNA from 1 species